CCGCCGCCUCUCGGGCGCCUGCGCUCACGCUGCGGGGCCCGGCGCAUUGUGAGCCGGGUCGAGCUCCACGCUGGCAGCGUCUGAGAGCUGUCCUGGGCCGGAGGUGGCGCGAACCCUGUGCGGCCUAGAGUGGGCCUGGGGAAGCCAGCUGCCAUGUUCUGAGUACUCUCUGGAAGGGCCUGCAUGGCAAGGAACUGAUGUUUCCAGCCAGCAGCCAGCAAGAACUGCAAGCCUUGUGAAUGAGCUUGGAAGCAGAUCCUCCCCUCACUCAAGCCAUGAUAUGACAACAGCCUGAGACCCAGAGGUGGAUGGUGGUGAGCUGUGUUUCCAGGCAAAGGGGAGGACAGGACGCCUUGUGGCAGCCCGAGCUGUGAAAAAUAGAAUCAGAAAUCUGAGCGUAGGAAGAAGUGGGUUAGCCCUGGAGAAAGGAAAAGGAGGAUCAUAGUUCUCUGCAAAGAGCUGGAAGCUAAAAAGCA
rnacentral:antisense_RNA from 1 species